CUAACACAUGCAAGUCGAACGAGAGAUGAGGAGCUUGCUCUUCAAAUCGAGUGGCGAACGGGUGAGUAACGCGUGAGGAACCUGCCUCAAAGAGGGGGACAACAGUUGGAAACGACUGCUAAUACCGCAUAAGCCCACGGCUCGGCAUCGAGCAGAGGGAAAAGGAGCAAUCCGCUUUGAGAUGGCCUCGCGUCCGAUUAGCUAGUUGGUGAGGUAACGGCCCACCAAGGCGACGAUCGGUAGCCGGACUGAGAGGUUGAACGGCCACAUUGGGACUGAGACACGGCCCAGACUCCUACGGGAGGCAGCAGUGGGGAAUAUUGCACAAUGGGGGAAACCCUGAUGCAGCGACGCCGCGUGGAGGAAGAAGGUCUUCGGAUUGUAAACUCCUGUUGUUGAGGAAGAUAAUGACGGUACUCAACAAGGAAGUGACGGCUAACUACGUGCCAGCAGCCGCGGUAAAACGUAGGUCACAAGCGUUGUCCGGAAUUACUGGGUGUAAAGGGAGCGCAGGCGGGAGAACAAGUUGGAAGUGAAAUCCAUGGGCUCAACCCAUGAACUGCUUUCAAAACUGUUUUUCUUGAGUAGUGCAGAGGUAGGCGGAAUUCCCGGUGUAGCGGUGGAAUGCGUAGAUAUCGGGAGGAACACCAGUGGCGAAGGCGGCCUACUGGGCACCAACUGACGCUGAGGCUCGAAAGUGUGGGUAGCAAACAGGAUUAGAUACCCUGGUAGUCCACACCGUAAACGAUGAUUACUAGGUGUUGGAGGAUUGACCCCUUCAGUGCCGCAGUUAACACGAAUAAGUAAUCCACCUGGGGAGUACGACCGCAAG
rnacentral:rRNA from 1 species